CAAUUGCGAAGGCAGCUUUCUGGAUCAUUACUGACACUGAGGAACGAAAGCAUGGGUAGCGAAGAGGAUUAGAUACCCUCGUAGUCCAUGCCGUAAACGAUGUGUGUUAGACGUUGGAAAUUUAUUUUCAGUGUCGCAGGGAAACCGAUAAACACACCGCCUGGGGAGUACGACCGCAAGGUUAAAACUCAAAUGAAUUGACGGGGACCCGCACAAGUAGUGGAGCAUGUGGUUUAAUUCGAAGAUACGCGCAGAACCUUACCAACACUUGACAUGUUCGUCGCAACUCUAAGAGAUUAGAGUUUUCGGUUCGGCCGGACGAAACACAGGUGCUGCAUGGCUGUCGUCAGCUCGUGUCGUGAGAUGUUGGGUUAAGUCCCGCAACGAGCGCAACCCUCACUUUUAGUUGCCAUCAUUAAGUUGGGCACUCUGAAAGAACUGCCAGUGAUAAGCUGGAGGAAGGUGGGGAUGACGUCAAGUCCUCAUGGCCCUUACGUGUUGGGCUACACGCGUGCUACAAUGGCAUCUACAACAGGAAGCAAAACGGCAACGUUAAGCAAAUCCCGAAAAGAUGCCUCAGUUCGGAUUGCACUCUGCAACUCGAGUGCAUGAAGCUGGAAUUACUAGUAAUCGUAGAUCAGCGUGCUACGGUGAAUGCGUUCCCGGGUCUUGUACACACCGCCCGUCACACCAUGGGAGUUGGUUCUACCUUAAGGCAAGGUUUCAAACCCUUGACCACGGUAUAGUCAGCGACUGGGGUGAAGUCGUAACAAGGUAGCCGUA
rnacentral:rRNA from 1 species